UACAUGUGGGGCAAGCGUUGUUCGGAAUUACUGGGCAUAAAGGGUGCGUAGGUGGUUUGUUAAGUCAGGGGUGAAAUCCCGCGGCCCAACCGUGGAACUGCCUUUGAUACUGGCGAACUUGAGUGCGUGAGGGGUAGGGGGAACGAGCAGUGUAGCGGUGAAAUGCGUAGAUAUUGCUCGGAAGGCCAGAGCCGAAGGGGCCCUACUGGUGCGCAACUGACACUGAGGCACGAAAGCCAGGGGAGCGAACGGG
rnacentral:rRNA from 1 species